GGGAAUAUUGGACAAUGGGCGAAAGCCUGAUCCAGCCAUGCCGCGUGUGUGAAGAAGGUCUUCGGAUUGUAAAGCACUUUAAGUUGGGAGGAAGGGCAGUAAGCUAAUACCUUGCUGUUUUGACGUUACCGACAGAAUAAGCACCGGCUAACUCUGUGCCAG
rnacentral:rRNA from 1 species